rnacentral:misc_RNA from 1 species
UUUCCGUAGGUGAACCUGCGGAAGGAUCAUUAAAAAAUGUGGUACCAAUUAUUGGUACUAAUUAAUCAUCCUACCCUUUGUGAAUUUGUUUGUAUGAAUUUUUUUAAUGGUCUUUCCCUAAGUUGGAUUGUUAGUAAAAUACAAAAGACUUAGGGGAAUGACUUUUUUAAAAGACUUUUUUUUAAUUAAAACUUUUUGUAUUCAUUUGUCUAAAAUUUAUUUUUAUAAUAUAAAAACAACUUUUGACAAUGGAUCUCUUGGUUCUCGCAACGAUGAAGAACGCAGCAAAAUGCGAUAAGUAGUGUGAAUUGCAGAAUACGUGAAUCAUCGAAUCUUCGAACGCAUAUUGCACUUUUUAGUUUACUAAAAAAGUAUGUCUGUUUGAGUAUCAGUAAAUAUUCUCACAAACAUAUAUUGUUUGUGGUUAUGAGUGUUUUACAACGAUAAACAAGUUGUUUCACUUUAAAUUCUUUUAUUGAAUUUUUAUACCAAUUCAAAAUUAAAUUGGAUAAAAUUUUCCUUUACGAGGAAUAACCUAAACAAUUUUAAAUUUUUGGUUGUAAACAUUCCAUAAAGGAAUCUAUACAUAAAUAACUUGAUCUCAAAUCAGAUAAGAGUACCGCUGAACUCAAGCAUAUCAAUAAGCGGAGGAAAAGAAACUAACAAGGAUUCCCUUAGUAACGGCGAGUGAAGCGGGAAGAGCUCAAAUUUGAAAUCUUCAAGGUUUGACCUUGACGAAUUGUAGUAUAUAGAAGUGUUUUCUGUUGGAGUUUUGGUAAAAGUUCUUUGGAAUAGGACAUCAUAGAGGGUGAGAAUCCCGUAUUUGACCAUGACUUUCCAGCUGUGUGAUACACUUUCAAAGAGUCGGAUUGUUUGGGAAUGCAGUCCAAAAUGGUGGUAAAUUUCAUCUAAAGCUAAAUAUGGCGAGAGACCGAUAGCGAACAGUACCGUGAGGGAAGAUGAAAAGAACUUUGAAAAGAGAGUAAACAGUACGUGAAAUUGUCAAAAGGGAAGCGUUUGACACCAGUGUUGUUUCUCGAAAAUCAAUUUAAUGGGUUCUUGUUUUAAGUUAUUGUGACUUUAUCAGCGCAUUUCUUAUUUUACUUGCUCAUUGAAUGCACUUUUCGUUUACAAGUCAGCAUCAAUUUCUUUGGUGGUAAAAAGUUUAAAGGAAGGUGGCUUGGACUUCGUUCAAGUGUUUAUAGCCUUUUUUCUAUGCCAUCGGAGAGAUUGAGGUCUGCAGCGUAGAUCCUUCGGGGUUAGAUACUUUGUGCUAAGUUAUAGUUUUUAUAGACAACUUGUUGACUAAUAACCCUGCAAUUUACUCGCUUAGGCUAUUU